rnacentral:piRNA from 1 species
UGGAAGAAGGACCUGCAUAGUGAAAGUGAC